UACGUAGGGGGCUAGCGUUGUCCGGAAUCAUUGGGCGUAAAGCGCGCGUAGGCGGCCCGGUAAGUCCGCUGUGAAAGUCAAAGGCUCAACCUUUGAAUGUCAGCGGAUACUGCCGGGCUAGAGUCCGGAAGAGGCGAGUGGAACUCCUGGUGUAGCGGUGGAAUGCGCAGAUAUCAGGAAGAACACCAACGGCGAAGGCAGCUCGCUGGGACGGUACUGACGCUAAGGCGCGAAAGCGUGGGGAGCGAACAGG
rnacentral:rRNA from 1 species